UUACGGUCAUAUCACGUUGAAACACUUGUUCUCGUAUGAUCACCAAAGUUAAGCAACGCCGAGCCUGGUCAGUACGUAUAUGGGUGACCGCUUGGAAAUUGCAGGCGAUGUAAG